AAUGCGCUAGUGUGUAAUUAAAUAAGUAAUUCCUCUUUGCAAAACCAAAUUAUUAACAAUUAAAAUAUACUGAAAUUAUAUGAGAAUUAUGAGCAAUUGUAAAAUAAUCAUGUAAUAUCAAAUUUAACAACUAAGUCCAAAACUGGUCGGGGCUGUUUACCCGCGCAACACGCGUCUUGGCGCGAGGUCGCACGGCGCUCUAGUGCCAGUUGCCGCCGGGAGCUCAGAGGGGUCCGUCGCCAUUGUCUUGCUCGACUGCAAUAGACAAGAACCUACAUAUUCUUCUUGUGAUGGUUUGGGCAACACACUGUGAGCACAAGACGGGGGCAGGACUGGGCCAGCACUGGAAACAGAGAAUGAGGUUGCACACUGACGACAGAAGUGGAUGAACCAUACAAGCAACCAACCAACCUGCUUCUGAGCUUGGCAGUUCUUCAAUGAGGACUUUUUUAUCGUCAUCAAAUACAUCACUAUGUUUUCUCUUCACUGCUGGUACUGUGAAAUCUGCUGCAGCUUGAUACUGUUUCACCUCACUACAAAAAAGUAAGAAAAAAAGAUCAAGUACAUGAGAAUCACCAGGGACCAAAAAAUGAGUGUCAAUAAAAAUGUCCAAAAACAGAGACAAAACAAAUAAUAGUAGUGCCAAAUUAGAUGUGAAAACAUAAAAGCAGUGCAAAAAAUUGGUGUAAAAAGUUCGUGAACUUAAAAAGUUCAAUAAGUCUAUAUACUUAAAAUUUGUAUUCUAUAGCCUAUGCAUCAAAAGUAGCAUUUUUAUUUUAGUUGUAGCAAUAGUUUUAAGUUAACCCUAAAAAUCUCAUAGUUCCUGAUGAAUUAUGUAAACAACUUAUGAUAACUUUUAACAUAUGGCUAAAACUGGGCAGGACAUACAGAAUUUGUAUGUUUUUAGAAUUUAUAAACUGAACUACAUUAGAUGUAAAUAAAGAAAUUAAAUGAAAA